GUGCCAGCAGCCGCGGUAAUACGGAGGGUGCAAGCGUUGUUCGGAAUUACUGGGCGUAAAGCGCGUGUAGGUGGUUCGGUAAGUCGAAUGUGAAAGCCCCGGGCUCAACCCGGGAAGUGCAUCCGAAACUGCCGAACUAGAGUCCCGGAGAGGAAGGCAGAAUUCCCAAUGUAGGGGUGAAAUCCGUAGAUAUUGGGAGGAAUACCGGUGGCGAAGGCGGCCUUCUGGACGGUGACUGACACUCAGACGCGAAAGCGUGGGGAGCAAACAGGAUUAGAAACCCUGGUAGUCC
rnacentral:rRNA from 2 species